rnacentral:lncRNA from 1 species
UGCAAGUGUUAGAAACAGCCCAUGAAGAUGGAAGAUCUUGACUCUCAGUAAGGCUUUUUGGUUCAAUACCUCACUACUAUUUUCUGGGAUGAUUAGAUGAAAAAGGGAAUUAACAUUUGGUUAAUUAGGUAGUGCCUACCACAUAGUAUGGUAAGAGGCACUACCUAAUGGAAUUUCUUUAAAACACAUGAAGUGACAAAUUUGGAAAUAGCUCCUAGAGUUUAACUAAUUGAUCAGCUCCCAUUGCUAUGAUGUCAUUAUGUUAUUGGUUUUGGAGUAGCCAAUCAGCUUUGCAAACUAUUCAUGUACAUGUCCCACUGAGGAUACCUACACCCUCUGAUGCUAUUUGUAGGAUUUUUGUGCCAGUUUUGCCACCCACAGAUGUUUCAAUCUGGACAAAUGUCAACAGCCUAGGGUCAAGUCUAGAAGGAAGCAGAAAGUCAGGUACAAUAGUGCAUACCUAUAAUCUAUUACUUGGAGGCUGAGGUAGGAAGAACACUUGAGCUCUUUUGAGAUAAGUUUUGGUAACAUAGUGACACUACGUCUCAGAAAAUAAAUUUAAAAAAAUAAAGAAACCCAUUUACAUAGAAUGCAGCAAAGCUAAGGAAAAUAACAUCUGGAAAAAUUCCUUGGGGAAAAAGAAAUAGAAGAAUCCUAAAAAUUGAGACAAAGAUCAUAACUCAAGACAAGAGAAACAAGAGUCUUGGUGGGUGGGAGAAUGUAAGGCCAUAGGUCCUAGGGUGUUGACCAAUUCCCAGGAAGGUUGGGGGACCCUGCAGGGUUUGGGGCACAGGGGUGGUACUUGUAGCAGAAUCUCAUUGGCUCUCUUGGUUUUUUUAUCUUUAAAAUAGGCAUACAAAUAAGCUUCUCUGGCCAUCUCUCAGUGGGGUUAUGGGAACUGAUUCAGUUAACUCAUAAGAACAUGCUUUUAUAAAAUGUGAAAUCCUAUGCAAAUGUCACAGAAGGACUAUCAGUUAGUUACAGCAGUACAAUCUAAUUCAUUAUCCAGAAUUUCAGCUACUCAACUUGUUCCUGGCUGUGUUUUAUUGACAAGGCAGCAUUUGAUAUCCAUUGAGACUCUGCAAAUUAAAGCCUGACUCAGAGUAAGCCCUUGGAAUUCAUGCCUCUCCUGACCCCUGACUUAUUACCUUGACUUUUCUCUACCCUCAGAACAACUAGGAUAGAUUUCAGCUGCACAGCAAAAAAAACAAAACAAACAAAACAAAUGAACAAACAAAAUAAAACCCUUCUCAUAGCAGUCUGC